GUUUAGGAGCUCCAUUUUCAAUAUAGCAAAAUUCUCUCUCCUUUCUGCUCCCAAUUUACUGUUUUGACUCGGACACAGAAGAAAAAAUUUAUAUAUAUAUAUAUAUAUAUAUUUGGGAGUAGAAAGGAGAGGGAAUGUUGCUAUAUAUAUUGUUCUGUAGU